UCCUGGCUCAGGACGAACGCUGGCGGCGUGCUUAACACAUGCAAGUCGAACGAUGAACCACUUCGGUGGGGAUUAGUGGCGAACGGGUGAGUAACACGUGGGCAAUCUGCCCUGCACUCUGGGACAAGCCCUGGAAACGGGGUCUAAUACCGGAUACGACCUGCCGAGGCAUCUCGGCGGGUGGAAAGCUCCGGCGGUGCAGGAUGAGCCCGCGGCCUAUCAGCUUGUUGGUGAGGUAGUGGCUCACCAAGGCGACGACGGGUAGCCGGCCUGAGAGGGCGACCGGCCACACUGGGACUGAGACACGGCCCAGACUCCUACGGGAGGCAGCAGUGGGGAAUAUUGCACAAUGGGCGAAAGCCUGAUGCAGCGACGCCGCGUGAGGGAUGACGGCCUUCGGGUUGUAAACCUCUUUCAGCAGGGAAGAAGCGCAAGUGACGGUACCUGCAGAAGAAGCGCCGGCUAACUACGUGCCA
rnacentral:rRNA from 1 species